CUUCUUCCGCAGUGGCGCUAUCGUAGCCCAUGAGGUCUGUCCGAGGUGCGAUUUUCGCUAGUUGAAAACUUUUGGAAUAUAAUCGGCCAAGGCAACCUUUGCCAGUGUCUUUGGAGA
ensembl:snRNA U4 U4 spliceosomal RNA